rnacentral:lncRNA from 1 species
UGUGUGUACGUAUGCGAUCAGAAGAAGGAGCCAGGAGAGCUCAAACCCUAGUUCAACAAAUCCUCCAAAUCGAAGCUCAAAUCAAGCCUGAAUCGUCUGCAUGAUUACAAAUUCGUGAUCGCCUAGUCGUGGGGAUCAUAAGUUGACUCUAAACAAGCUAGGUGGGAGCUUGAAAAGGAACGGGUCAAACGGAUCAUGGAUGCGAAGAAUGUUUGCGCGGACGCGGGGGUAAAACGGCUUAUGGAAUUUACGUGGCUAUGAAUCAGCAAAUUAUUAAGGCAAGGUAUUAAAACGGGUCAAUACUUUGACCCGCGCC